rnacentral:rRNA from 1 species
AAACUCAAAGGAAUUGACGGGGACCCGCACAAGCGGUGGAGCAUGUGGUUUAAUUCGAUGCAACGCGAAGAACCUUACCUGGUCUUGACAUACACGGAACUUUCCAGAGAUGGAUUGGUGCCUUCGGGAACCGUGAUACAGGUGCUGCAUGGCUGUCGUCAGCUCGUGUCGUGAGAUGUUGGGUUAAGUCCCGUAACGAGCGCAACCCUUAUCCUUAUUUGCCAGCACUUCGGGUGGGAACUAUAAGGAGACUGCCGGUGAUAAACCGGAGGAAGGCGGGGACGACGUCAAGUCAUCAUGGCCCUUACGACCAGGGCUACACACGUGCUACAAUGGGAAGAACAAAGGGUUGCUAAGCCGCGAGGUGGUGCUAAUCUCGUAAAUCUUCUCGUAGUCCGGAUCGGAGUCUGCAACUCGACUCCGUGAAGUCGGAAUCGCUAGUAAUCGUGGAUCAGAAUGCCACGGUGAAUACGUUCCCGGGUCUUGUACACACCGCCCGUCAUACCAUGGGAGUGGGUUGCAAAAGAAGUGGGUAGCUUAUCUGGGCGCUCACCACUUUGUGAUUCAUGACUGGGGUAAAGUCGUAACAAGGUA